rnacentral:lncRNA from 1 species
CCCCCUUUUUAUUUCUUUGUUCUCUAUUCACUUUUUAUUUCCCUUUUUAUUAUUCAAGUAUUCUCAAUUUAAAUUGUGUGGUUGAACCCGGAUCCAGGCCUCUUGGCCCUCAUCAAAACUUCGCUUUGUUAACGGAAAAAUCCGAGAGCUCCCUUGGACAAAAACAAAGACACCAACCAGGAUAACUUGGAGCAAAACAGCAGCCUGUAGGCUUGGCCUUUAUUGAACUGUUGCAACAGGGUGCUCCCCUCACUUGCAGGAGAGAGAAAGGACACAGAAAAAUGGUGUGCAAGGCCUUAUAAAGACUUUUGACAUUCCCACCCUGUAGGUCAAGCCCACCCCCAGAAACAUCACGCAUACAUCACAGAAAGGAGGGGUUGAGGGAGGAGUUGUGGUGGUAACCUGAGUGUCCUGUCACCUGGCUGGUUCCCCCUUUCCCCCUCCCCAUGAGUACUUUCCAGAUGACGGAGGGGAGUUGGCAGUUUCCUGCCCCCAGAGGGAAGAUCUGAUCAUUGUCCUUUGUUUCAGUCCAUGCUGAAUCCACUCCCACAUGCAAGUUCUUUGUGAUCUUGAUGGUCUUCUGUCUGGGACCAUCAGGGUUGGCAUAGCAACUGGGCAGGGCUCCUGUGGAUGUGCUGGGAUGGUGAAGGGAUUAUGGCUGACCAGUAUCAAACCUUCCCCAUUUUGUAGUCCUUCCUUCAUGGAGUAAAAUAAAAGUGGAACAGUGCAGAUCCGAUGUAUGGUGGAUUUUCUAUGAAUUUAUAACAGAAGCCUAGCGUAUGUCGUGUGUGAGUGUGUGAGUGUGUGUGUGGGUGAGUGUGUGUGAAGUUUGUGCAAACUGAAUGAUGGGGGGGGGUUUCCUGCGACAAGGGAGAGAGAGACCCGCCCCCCCCGCCGUUUCUGGGAGAGCCCUCCUUUCCUUUCCUUUCCCUUCCGCUCCCCUCCCAAGAGGCUCCCCCUUGUGUCUCUCUGUGUCUCUGAGGGACGAGAGAGGAGGCGCCCCUCCCCCCGCCGCUUCUUCCCCUCAACGACGUUUCCCGCCUUUUCCCAACUGCCUCGCCUCCGUUUUGGCGCCAAGGAUUCCGGGCAGACCAGGCGGCGCUUUCCCGGGGCUUGAGGGGCGGAUUUCUCUUCAGGCCUCUCGCUUUGCAAGCUCCUCUCUCUUUGGAAAGGCGGGAUGAAAACUCCCUUCGCCUCUGCCUGCAUCCCUCGCAGGACUGAAAAGUCCGAUUUCUUUCCAUUUGCUACGUCUAAUGUCCGCUUUGGGUCUAGUUUGCCGCUGGCAUAAAGUACCUCUUUUUUCAGCUGAUCUGAAGGUCUAAAUCAUUGGCCCAAAGCUGCUUUAUUGGUUAACCAUUUUCCAUGGGUCCUUUGUACGUGGGUCUCCUGAAAGCUUAUUACAGUAAAUCUCAUUUUGGCCUCCCCCCAAGAUCGCGAGUGCGAUUCAUUCCUUGCCUGGGACACUUCUUCAUCUCCCUAUUUUCCUGGUGGGGGAAAGGUGAUUUUCGGGGGGGGAGGGGUCUCCUGACUGGGAAGCCCCCCCUCCCCCCCGCUGAGCUGGAGGGUGUCCCUUGGGGGGGUGUCUUGAGGGAGCCAUUGCUGAGCCCAAGGCACCUCCCGCCACUAGGCAGCCCUUCGCUUCUCCUCCCUCCCAGGAGAUAAGGGGGGAGGGAAGGGGGGCAGCCCCUAGAGCGCAGGCGCAGAAGCAGGAAAACUGAAGGCAGGGAGAGGGAGGGGAGGACUCGGGGCGCUCGGCUUGUCAAGGGUUAAAAGGAGCAGAGCGGGAUUCCUAGAGAGGACAGGAAGUGAAGGGGGUGAAGGUCCUCCAUGGGUAAAUUCCCCCCUCCCCCUCCCUUCCUGCUUUCUUCUCUCUCCAUUGCAAAAGCCCCUCCUGGACUCGGGUGAGUCUCCUCUCUCUUCCCCCUGAGGGUGCAAUGGGGAGAAGGGGGUCCCAGGGGGGCAGGGAGGGGGCGUGGGGGGUCCCUGCUCAGAUCAUGCAUGAUGGGGGGAGACCCCCAAGUCAGGGAGCAGAGGGUCCUCCCUUGUCCUCUCUGCCAAGCCAGGGAGGGGCCAAGUCGCAGGAAAUAUGCAGCUCUGCUCUUCCUUGGGAUCCAGAUGCUGCCUUCCUUUUGGGGGGAGGGGGCUUUGAGUCAAGAAAAUAAACCCCCUUCAGAUGGAGGGAAAAGUCACAUUUAAGAACAGAGGCUGCAGCCAGACGGGAACAUUCCCACGUGGGGGGAGCGCAGGGAGAAGAAAAGCCCGUCUGCAUCUGCAGCACCACUGCAUCUCCAGACCACUUCCUGUGUCCCAGAUGCAACAAAACAUGUCUCUCCCCCAGAUCUCACUCCCAAAGAAAACACUCUUCCAUUGUCUCCUAAGACAGGUGGAAGCCAACCAGCCAACCAUUCCCUCCCCUCACAAUGCACAAUGGGGCUUCCCCUCCCCUGACGUACCACUUUAGAUAAUGGGGCCUCCACUACCACCGCCGUGCGAUUUCUGUUCUUAUCCUGAAGCAAAGUUCUUAACCCGAGGUACUAUUUCUGAGUUAGCGGAGUCUGUAACCUGAAGCGUCUGUAAACCAAAGUACCACUCUACCCAUCAUUUAAAUACACAACAAAAUUGUUACAGAAAAGAACAGAGCAAUGUUUAGAAAAAUAUCAUCUUUCUUCUCCCUUUUUCUCUUAGGGUCCAGUGUGCCUUGAAGACGUAGCUGUUCCUUUCACAGAGGAGGACUGGGCUUUGCUGGAUCCUGACCAGAGAGCUCUGCAGAAGGAAGUCAAGGAGGAGAAUCCUGGGAUCGUGGCCUCUCUGGUAAGGCUCCCUGCUGGAUCAUAAGAUCAGUUUUGAAAUUCCAUACAGAUCUCUGAAGGACAAGCCUCCUCUAUUUUGAGGGAGCCCCAUAGCGCCACCUACAGCAUCUGAGAUGUUAACACACCCACAACUCUCCUGGAAUGGAAAACUCAAUAGGAGAUGUAUCUCCUGUUCUGUCUGGGAAUAUUCUUCCACCAGUCCUGCCUUUUCCAACCGUGAGGAGGCUGGUCUGAGCUGCCCAGGCCUUCUUCAAUGUAGGCUUCAGAGAUCUUAGGGACGUGGAGGUACAUCCUGUCUAAUUUUCUUUUUCCCUUUCUACAUUUGUCUGGCUUCAUUCUGUUGGUGAAUCUAAUUUUCCAUGAAAUAUUUCCUACAGGGGACCGUUUAGAAUGUGGAAAAAGCUUCACCUAGGAAACCAGUCUCAAUUUCCAUUAAAUAAAAAACAGCAGGGAUAAUUAUAGAAUUUUAGAAAAUGGUAUAAGGCAUAUGGUAUAAGGUAUAACUGGUAUUAGGAAACUUCAUGAGGAAUUAAGGGGAGAGAUAGCGUUGACCUGGAGUAGUUACAAAAUUUGUGGUCUCUCCCCGAGUGCCAGGGACCCUCCUCCAAAGAGAGCUUUUUUUUGUCAGAAUAAUUCAUUUUUUCCCAAUUUUUGGCAAUUAAUUGGCAAUAAAUGUUCUCACUGCCACGGUGGCGUAAAGAAAUAUUUGCUUAUUUAAAACAUCUUUAUCAAAUUUUCUGUUAUUGCCUCACAAGCCGUAAAAUUCCAACUCUCCUUCCAUAAUUUUUCCCAUGAUGUUACUUCAAUAGGUUUCCAUAAAUCCAUAGCCAAUUUGAUCAUUACCGCCUUUACCUGUUCAUCCAUAUCCUCCCACUCCAAUAAGAUUCCAUACAUUUAACAAAUUACUUUUGUUUUGUUUUGUAGUAAUUCUUUAUCCAAUACUGAAAUUGCAAAAUCCAUUUUCUUGUCAGCUUUGAAGACCUCAUUUAUUUGGUGAUACUGGAUCCACCCUGUUAGGUGGUGUUUUAUUUCCUCCCGCAUUUUGGUCAGACUCACGUUUGUAGCUUCGAGAACACUGUCCAGCCAUCUCAUCCUCUGUCGUCCCCUUCUCCUUGUGCCCUCCAUCUUCCUGGUAUAAUUCCCUGGAGAGCCAGUGUGGUAUAGUGGUUAAGAGUGGUAGUCUCGUAAUCUAGUGAACUGGAUUCGCUCCUCCACAUGCAGCUGCUGGGUGACCUUGGGCUAGUGCCACUUCUCUGAAGUCUCUCAGCCCCACUCACCUCACAGAGUGUUUGUUGUGGGGGAGGAAGGGAAAGGGGGAGGAAGCCGCUUUGAGACUCCUUCCGGGUAGUGAUAAAGCAGAAUAUCAAAUCCAAACUCUUCUUCUUCUUCAGCAGAAUAUCAAAUCCAAACUCUUCUUCUUCUUCUUCAGCAGAAUAUCAAAUCCAAACUCUUCUUCUUCUUCUUCAGCAGAAUAUCAAAUCCAAACUCCUCCUCCUCCUCCUCCUCUUCUUCUUCUUCUUCUUCUUCUUCUUCUUCUUCUCCUCCUCCUCCUCCUCCUCCUCCUCCUCCUCCUCUGUGUAUACUUGUCCCCUCUUCUUGAUGUCUUGAUAUCUUCUGCUUCUGUUAGGUCAUUACCACUUUGGUCCUUUAUUAUGGUAAUCUUUGUACAAAAUGUCCCUUUCAUAUCUCCAAUUUUCCUGUACAGAUCUCUGGUUUUUCCCAUUCUACUGUUUUCCUCUAUUUCUUUGCAUUGCUCGUUUAAGAAGGCCCUCUUGUGUCUCCUUGCUAUUCUUUGGAAAUCUGUAUUCUAUUUCUUGUAGGUCUGCCUUGGAUUCAUAUUGAGAUCGUUCUAUCAUUUUUGAGAUAGCAUCCCAGUACAGUGGUGGCUCGCAAGACGAAAAACGCGCAAGACGAAAAACGCGCAAGACGAAAGAGUGUUCCGUUUUUUGAGUCGUUCCGCAAGACGAAUUUCCCUAUGGGCUUGCUUCGCAAGACGAAACGUCUUGCGAGUUCUUGUGAGUUUGUUUCCUUUUUCUUAAAGCCGUUAAUAGCCGCUAAGCCGCUAAUAGCCGUGCUUCGCAAGACGAAAAAACCACAAGACGAAGAGACUCGCGGAACGGAUUAAUUUCGUCUUGCGAGGCACCACUGUACAGCUUUUGCCACUCUUUUGUUGACUACGAGGGCCACUCCAUUUCUUUUAAAGGAUUCUUGCCCACAGUAGUAGUUAUGGUGGUCAUCUGAACUGAAUUUGCCCAUCCCUGUCCAUUUUAGUUCACUGAUGCCCAGGAUGUCAAUAUUUAUUCUUGCCAUCUCAUUUUCACCACAUCCAACUUACCUUUCGGCUUUGGCCCAGCCGUUUCAUCAGCUCUGAAUCUACUUGUCCUUGUCCUCCUCUCUUCCUCAGUACCAUGUUGGACGCCUUCUGACCUGAGGGGCUCAUCUUCCAGCGUCAUCACUUUUAUAUGCCUGUUGCCUUUGUCCAUGGAGUUUUCUUGGCAGGGAUACUGGAGUGGCUUGCCGGUUCCUGCUCCAGGUGGAUCACGUUUGGUCUAAACUCUCCACUAUAUCCUGUCCAUCUUGGGUGGCCCUGCACAGCUUAGCUCAUAGCGUCUCUGAGUUAUUCAAGCCCCUUCGUCACAACAAGGCAGUGAAAGUGGCCCAAUUCAAUUCCAUAUUUUUCUUUUCCCCAGUUAUUGCUUCCUGAGGUGAAAUCUACCGGGGGGUUUAGGUUCUAAGACCACUUUAUGUUUUUCCCAUACUCUAUAUAUCAAUUUUCUUAUUAUAUGAUUCAAAAUUGAUUUCUUUCCAUGUUUUAAUAUAAUUGUCUUUAAAUAGGUUGGUGUUUUCAUUUGUCAGCAAGAUUUCAAAAUACUUAGUUUUAUUUACUGUUUCCAAUCCUGAUAUUUUCUUUAGUUCUUCUUUUUCCUGUGUUGACAUAUUUUUUGCUAGCAUACUAGUCUUUUUUUAAUUUAAUUUAAAUCCUGCCACUUCCAAAUUUAAGGAUUUCCCCUCUUAUUUCUGGUAUGCUUUCCUCCAGAUUUUCAGAAGUUAGAAUUAAAUUGUCUGCAAAGGCCUUCAUCUUCUGCGACUUCUUCCCCAUUGUUAGACCUUUUAUGCCUUGGUCACUCCUUGUUGUCAUUGCUAAGAAUUCUAGUACCGUAAUAAAAAGUAGAGGUGAAAGGGGGCAGCCUUGCCUGGUCCCCUUACUUACUUUACUUCUCUUAUUUCACGAUUUAGUAUCAAUUUGGCUCUCUGAUUUCAAUAUAUUGCCUCAAAACCACUAAUAAUAUUUUCUCCGAGUCCUGUUUUUUCUGUAGUUUUUUUCAUGGAGCUCCAAGAAAGAAGAUUCCACCUAAACAUUAGGAAGAACUUCCUGACAGUAAGAGCUGUUUGACAGUGGAAUUUGCUGCCAAGGAGUGUGGUGGAGUCUCCUUCUUUGGAGGUCUUUAAACAGAGGCUUGACAACCAUAUGUCAGAGUGCUCUGAUGGUGUUUCCUGCUUGGCAGGGGUUGGACUCGAUGGCCCUUGUGGUCUCUUCCAACUCUAUGAUUCUAUGAUUCUAGANNNNNNNNNNNNNNNNNNNNNNNNNNNNNNNNNNNNNNNNNNNNNNNNNNNNNNNNNNNNNNNNNNNNNNNNNNNNNNNNNNNNNNNNNNNNNNNNNNNNNNNNNNNNNNNNNNNNNNNNNNNNNNNNNNNNNNNNNNNNNNNNNNNNNNNNNNNNNNNNNNNNNNNNNNNNNNNNNNNNNNNNNNNNNNNNNNNNNNNNAAAGGUUUUUGUCUGAGUGGUGAUCUGACUUCCCAUCAAAGACUUCAUACAGGAGAGAAACCGUAUCACUGCUUGGAAUGUGGAAAGAGCUUUCGUCUGAGUGGUGAUCUGACUUCCCAUCAAAGAGUUCACACAGGGGAAAAACCCUAUCAGUGCUUGGAAUGUGGAAAGAGCUUUCGUCAGAGUGGUGAUCUGACUUCCCAUCAAAGAAUUCAUACAGGGGAGAAACCCUAUAUGUGCUUGGAAUGUGGGAAAAGCUUCCGGGAGGGCCACAAGCUCACUUCCCAUCAAAGAAUUCAUACAGGUGAGAAACCCUAUCAGUGCUUGGAAUGUGGAAAGAGCUUCAGUCAAAGUGCCACACUCUCUUACCAUCACAGAAUUCAUACAGGGGAGAAACCCUAUCAGUGCUCAGAAUGUGGGAAGCGCUUCAGUCAGGAGGGGAAUCUCACUUCUCAUCAAAGAAUUCAUACAGGGAGAAACCCUAUCAGUGCUCAGAAUGUGAAAAGAGCUUCAGUCGGAAGGAUAGUCUCACUUCCCAUCAAAGAAUCCAUACAAGAGAGAAAACGGUUUAGUGUUUGGAAUGUGGGAAAAGAUUCGUUCAUGGCCCACCAAAUAAUUCAUACGGGGUUGAAAGCAUAUCAGCACACGGAAUGUGUAUAAAAUUUCACUUGUUCAAAAGUCAAUUUAAGAUCUCACACCAGGGUGAAGUAUAGAAUUAUAGAUUCAGAAUCUAGUCCAGCCCCCUCCAGAAAUCUCAUUUCAAGCAUCCAUGACAGGUGGCCAUCCAACUUCUUCUUAAAACCCCCCAAGGAAGGUCCACCCCCCUUCUGAGAGAGUUCCUUUUCACAGUCAGCUCUUACUAUCAGAGAGAGAAUAUAAAAAGACUUUGGAGAAGACUUCCGGUGUGAUGGCCUAUGGCGUUUGGCUGCUUUCCCAGGACACCGGACCCUAGUCGUGCAAUUAAACAAGGUGAAUCUGGGGGUAAUUAUCCCUGUUGAACCCUGCAGGGAUGGGGCGCACGUGCCUUCACCCGCACGCCGUCCGAUAUCUGCUGCUCGCUACAGUGGAGGCAGGGGCGCUGGGUGUUUAGCAUUGCACGAAUUGGAAAAUCUCCAAUGCCAACGCCAUGAGCGGGAGCAUUCCUGUUUUUCAACAAAGAUUUGAAUUUGGACUUUGAAAGGACUUUUGUCGCUCUGCUACAGAAGAUGUGAGGUGAGCAUCUCAUCUUUGCUUAUACUUGCUACUGUUGGGCCAACGCCCUCCCUCAUCUGUCUGAAUGGUGAGGAACUUCGCCCGUAGUAGCAGAGUACAGCAGAAGCAGACUCUGGCUGGAAAGCAGCAUCGAGAAGAUAAGAAGGCAACAGAGCGACAGAGCUGACUCACGCAGCCGUAUCCUUCAGCAAAAGCCAGAUGCAAGGACCAGAGGGGAGGAGGAGGAGAUAUAGAAAUUGCUCCCGUUCUCACACGAUGAUACAUUAGGUAAUUAGGCAAUUAAAGGCACAGUGUCACACUGUGCAAUGAAAGAAUGAAACACUGCAGUACUGACACCUACUUCAUGAUUUGGCAAGCCUCAUGGAGAAAGAUUCAAUUAAUUAAAUGGAAUGCAAGUGAAACUUCAUUAAAAAACUUGAGAAUUUGAUGUUUAAUGGUGCGGUCCUUUGUGGAGGGCUCUAAUUAUUAUUGGCAAGGUAUCAGCUUGUUUGAAGAUAUGGAGAGACUUUGCUGAAAUACCGUGUUACCAGAGAAUGAGGCUGUAAUUUCAACUGCGUCACACGCCAUCUUCUCUCCCUUUUUUGUUAUUGUUUGAGUCCAGAUAGAGAGUAAUCUGGCGUCCCGCCAAAGCUCUGGCAAGACUCCAGCUUCUCCUUCCGUCCAACUCUCUCAAUAACGAUCUGGCAUCCUGCCAAAGCCAUAGCCGAUCAUCAAAGCUCAAAUUCCAUUUCCUUCCAAAGGAAUACAGUGAAAGUCCAUCUGCUUGCAUGGACUUUUGUCAUAUAUGGAUUUAUAAAAGUGAAGGUGAAUCUUUGAUCUUUGUAAUCUUCCCUUAGGGCUCAGGGGGAGCAAGCUUGGAUUCUAGAGGAACCAAACAAGUAUUAACUGUGAAAUCUAUCGCACAGUGUGGUCUCUUACAGAAGAUUCUUCGGUUUGGGAAAAUAUCAGUCAGUUAAAAUACAUUACAUGUGUCUUAAUUUUAACUAAACAAAGGAAAGCUGGAAGACAGCCCAGAGUCCUGGAAGAUAAGACAGUGGAAUGAAAUAGGGCCUUCUGUUUUUUGUUUUUUUUAAAUGAUUUUUAUUAAGGUUUCUGUAAAAAGUUAAACAGAAAAACAUAAAAAAGAAAUACACAAAUACACAGUACAUAAUCCAAAAAAGAAUAAUCCGUUUUUAAAUUUACUUAUUUUCUGGACCUCCUCAUACCUCCCUCUUUUGUAUUCCAGUCCAAAUUGUUUGUCCAGCAAUUUCUUUUCCACUUUUUUAAUCUCAAUCUUUAAUCUUAAUGUAAUAUAACAUUAAAAUUUUACCUCUUAAGUACCAAAUUUCCAUUUCCUUAAACAUCUUUAAUCCUAAUCUUUAAUCUUAGUCUAUCUAUAACUUUAAAUCCUGUACAGCUGGAAACCACUUAUUUUCAAUUCAACAUCACUCUAACAUUCUUUAAUUUUGCAGUGUUUCUGAAGAUAAUCUUUGAAUUUCUUCCAAUCUUCCUCCACCAAGUCUUCUCCUGGUCACGGAUUCUGCCAGUCAUUUCCGCCAGUUCCAUAUAGUCCAUCAGUUUCAUCUGCCAUUCCUCCAGCGUGGGAAGUUCUUGUGUCUUCCAAUACUUUGCGAUGAGUAUUCUUGCUGCUGUUGUUGCAUACAUAAAGAAAGUUCUAUCCUUUUUUAGCACCAUUUGGCCGACUAUGCCCAGGAGAAAGGCCUCUGGUUUCUUAGGGAAGGUAUAUUUAAAUACCCUUUUCAUUUCAUUAUAAAUCAUCUCCCAGAAAGCCUUAAUCUUUGGGCACGUCCACCAAAGGUGAAAAAAUGUACCUUCAGUUUCUUUACAUUUCCAACAUUUAUUAUCGGGCAAAUGAUAGAUUUUCGCAAGCUUGACUGGGGUUAUGUACCACCUGUAUAUCAUUUUCAUAAUAUUCUCUCUUAAGGCAUUGCAUGCCGUAAAUUUCAUACCUGUGGUCCACAACUGUUCCCAGUCAGCAAACAUAAUGUUAUGUCCAACGUCUUGUGCCCAUUUAAUCAUAGCUGAUUUUACCGUUUCACAUUAACUGUGAAAUCUAUCGCUCUUACAGAAGAUUCUUCAGUUUGGGAAAAUAUCAGUCAGUUAAAAUACAUUACAUGUGUCUUAAUUUUAACUAAACAAAGGAAAGCAGGAAGACAGCCCAGAGUCCUGGAAGAUAAGAUGGUGGAAUGAAAUAGGGCCUUCUGAGGAGGGACUGCACCGAAAACAAUUGAUGGACAACAACAAGAAGAGCACAAUUUUCAUCAUGCAUGUUAAUUUAGAUAUAGAUCUGUUAAAUAUGAUGAAAGUUGCAUGCCAGUGGCUGUCAAGAUAAGAUAAAGGAUUAAGAUCGGGAUGAUAUUAGGAAUAAAUAAAAGAGAGAAAAGUAGGAACAAGAACCCCCCCAAAAAAAUAAUCUCAUCAAUCUUUGACUUUUGUCUUUUGGGUUUCUCUGUUGUUAUUCUGUCUCUCACAGCUACAAUAAACCUACCAUUAAUAUUGUGGACUAGGCAUUUCUUCGUCAGAGGGCAAAAAACCCAAAUUUAGCAGGGGAUCAAAUACUUUCCCCCCUCACUCUAUUUGUUUACACUCACACACACACCUGGCUCUCGUUUGAAAGAGGAGUGAGAGGCGGAGGCACUUUACUGACAGAAUGGCAUUUCCACGGCACCUCCUUUCCUCCCAGGAGCUCCUCCUUCCACAACCCUGCCAGGCUGGCCGCUUGCCUUUCACCCCCUUUCCAGCACUGCGUGGCUUAGUGUGGCAGCACCUGCCCUUUGGAACUCCCCGCCUCUUGCAAUAAUAAUAAUAAUAAUAAUAAUAAUUCUAGAAUGGCAUUUCCCUCGCACCUCCUUUCCUCCCAGGAGCUCCCCCUUCCACAACAACCCUGCCAGGCUGGCCUCUUGCAUGUCGCCCCCUUCCAGCAGGCGAAGCUGCAGGGGCCACUCACUUCCUGGCCCUCCAAAAAUGGAGGAGGCCUUUGACCCUGGAUGAGCCUGAGAGGAGCCUUGAGGGGGCAGAGAGGGCUCGCCUCCCAGACUUUUCCGCCAUCCAUUUAUUACUACUGUUGAUUAAACUUAGGCCUCUCGGGGCUCUGGCACCCGGCACAGUUAUUUCAAAUGAUCUCAAACCCUAAAAUGGAUUGACAGGUAACUGACAGACGUGGAUGAUCUCUAGAGAUAUAGGGCAGCUGCCGGAUGCCCCCCUUGGUUGGGCCUGUGAUGGACAGCAGAGCCAGGCCAGUCAGCGGACUUCGUCCCUCAGAAAUUCCCCCAGGGGCUGGAGCCUCGCUCUGAUUGGCUCCUAAGCCAGCGGGGGGCGGAGCCAGGCCUUUUGGCGGGAAGAUGCAAGGCGCCUUUUCUGAGGGGGGAGCUUGGAGGGGAAGGUGGGUAGGAGAGGAAGAGGAGUCAGGCGGGAGUUGAAGGGGAGAAGCUGGGGGGAGGGAAGGGAGACCCCUAAGAAGGAGGGCUGAGGGGACCCCUGGGUGUGGGGGGCGGAGGGAAGGAGACCCCCAAGAAGGAGGGCUGAGGGACCCCUGGGUGUGGGGGCGGACUGAGAGGGGAGGGAAGGAGACCCCAAGAAGGAGGGCUGAGGGACCCCGGGGUGUGGGGGCGGACUGAGGGGGAGGGAAGGAGACCCCAAGAAGGAGGGCUGAGGGGACCCCCUGGGUGUGGGGGCGGACUGAGGGGAGGGAAGGGAGACCCCCAAGAAGGAGGGCUGAGGGGACCCCCUGGGUGUGGGGGCGGACUGAGGGGGAGGGAAGGAGACCCCAAGAAGGAGGGCUGAGGGGACCCCUGGGUGUGGGGGCGGACUGAGAGGGGGGCGGAGGGAGACCCCAAGAAGGAGGGCUGAGGGGACCCCCUGGGUGUGGGGGGCGGACUGAGAGGGGGGGCGGAGGGAGACCCCCAAGAAGGAGGGCUGAGGGGACCCCCUGGGUGUGGGGGGCAGAGGGAAGGGAGACCCCCAAGAAGGAGGGCUGAAGGGACCCCCUGGGUGUGGGGGGCGGACUGAGGGGGGGAGCGGAGGGAGCCCCUAAGCGCAGGCGCGGGGAGAGGGAGGGCUGGGCUUGCAAGGGUUAAGAGGAGCAGAGCGGGAGUCCUAGAGAGGACGGGAAGUGAAGGGGGAGUGAAGGUCCUCCAUGGCGAAAUCCCCCCUCCCCCUCCCUCCCUGCCUUCUUCUUCUCUCUCCUUUGCAAAAGCCCCUCCUGGACUCGGGUGAGUCUCCUCUCUCCUCCCCUGAGGGUGCAAUGGGGAGAAGGGGGUCCCAGGGGGGCAGGGAGGGGCAUGGGGGUCCCUGUUCAGAUCAUGCCUGGGGAGACCCCCAAGUCGGGGAGCAGAGGGUCCUCCCUUGUCCUCUCUGCCAAGCCAGGGAGGGGCCAGUUUGCAGGAAAUAUGCAGCUCUGCUCUUCCUUUUUAGGGAGGGGGCUUCGGGUCAAGAAAGUAAACCCCCUUCAAAGGGAGGGAAAAGUCACCUUUGUGAACUGAGGCUGCAGCCAGACGGGAACAUUCCCACGUGGGGGGAGCACAGGGAGAAGAAAAGCCCGUCUGCAUCUGCAGCAGCACAUCAGGACCACUUCCUCUGUCCCAGAUGCAACAAUAUUAUAUUAUACAACAUAAUAUUACUACUACUACUAAUAAUAAUUUAUUUGUACCCCGCCCAUCUGGCCGGGUUUCCCAGCCACUCUGGGCGGCUUCCACAAAAACGAAAAAGACACUAUUAUGUCAUACAUUUAAAACUUCCCUGAGCAGGGCUGCCUUAAGAUGUCUUCUGAAUGUCAGGUAGUUGUUUAUGUCUCUCCCCUGUCGCUCUCCACACCCACAGCUGGCGCUGUGACCUUCCAACAACUGGAUCUCACUCCCAAAGACACACUCUUCCAUGGUCUCCCAAGACAGAUGACUGCCAACCAGCCAACCAUUCCCUCCCCUCCCCCUCCUGGUGCCCCUGGAAGUUGGCUUGAGGGCAUUGGGAGGGUCCAACCCACCAGAUGAAGGGAGAGGAGGUCCUUCCAUCUGGAAAAUGGGAAUGCUUGCAAAGAUUUACUUGAAGAUGAGUGCCAUAUAGAUAAUAAAACAUUAUUUUGUGGAAUUCCCCCAUUUACACAAAGAUUAAUACCCAUCAUUUAAAUACACAACAAAAUGGUUUCAGAAAAGAACAGAGCAAUGUUUAGAAAAAUAUCAUCUUUCUUCUCCCUUUUUCUCUUAGGGUCCAGUGUGCUUUGAAGACGUAGCUGUUCCUUUCACAGAGGAGGACUGGGCUUUGCUGGAUCCUGACCAGAGAGCUCUGCAGAAGGAAGUCAAGGAGGAGAAUCCUGGGAUCGUGGCCUCUCUGGUAAGGCUCCCUGCUGGAUCAUAAGAUCAGUUUUGAAAUUCCAUACAGAUCUCUGAAGGACAAACCUCCUCUAUUUUGAGGGAGCCCCAUAGCGCCACCUACAGCAUCUGAGAUGUUAACACACCCACAACUCUCCAUAGGAGAUGUAUCUCCUGUUCUGUCUGGGAAUAUUCGUCCACCAGUGCUGCCUUUUCCAACGGUGAGGAGGCUGGUCUGAGCUGCCCAGGCCUUCUUCAAUGUAAUCUUCAGAGAUAUUAAGGACAUGGAGGUACUUCCUGUCUAAUUUUCUGUUUCCCUUUCUGCUUCUGUUUUUGGUUGAGCAAAGAAAUGACUGAGCUUGGAGAUGGAGCGGAUUCCAUGACUGAGCCAAAUUAAAUCCAUCCCUGGAAAGAGCCAGGCUUUUCGAAUCUCCGGGUCCCAUAAAUACGUUAGCUAAUACCAGCCAAAAAAGGCAGUAACUCCCUUCCCUUCUUCCUCUUUCACAAACAUUCAUUUGCAUUCUUCAGUCAUUUCAGCCUCAAUUUCUUUCUCAGGCUAGGAUUAUUAUUAUUAUUAUUAUUAUUAUUAUUAUUGAUAUCAGGAAACUUGAUGAGGAAUUAAGGGGAAAGACAGUGUUGACCCAGAGUAGUUACAAAAUGUAUGUUCUCUCCCCAAGUGCCACAGACCCUCCUCCAAAGAGAGCUUCUCUGAAGAAAGCACAAGCAAAAAUUACUCAAUUUUACGUGAAUAAGGAAAAUGAGGAGGUGGCUAAGAAACAGCAGGAGCCAGAUCCUAUUACUGACCUUAUAGGAUCUCUCAGCAGCUCUAAGGAUGAGCAGAAAGAGGUUUUGGGCCCAGGCAGCUCAACUGCUAAGUCAUCUCUGGCACUGAGACCAGGAGCUCAAGCGACUCAAGCCCAAAUUCAGGCUAAACAAGUAGAGGAACUAAUGUUAAAAAUUACAAAAUAGUGCAAUAUUAAAAAGUUGACUUUAAAAAACUUUUGAACCUGCUUGAGAGCAGCUCAUGCUCUGGGUCCAGACAGAACACUAAGAAGCUUGUACUAUGCUAGAAUCUGCACACCAGAUCCCUAUAUCAAUAUGAAACGAUAUGCAAGGUUAUCAAAUGGUCUGAUGUCCUGUCAAAAGCCAAAACCAAACCAACUAGGGAGAGGGUUUUCAUAAAAAGGAAUUGGAAAUGGGUGCUGUCUCAAAAUAAGCUACUUCUCUCAAGCUACCCUAAGCCUUUGGGAAUCUUGUCACAAGAGGAGCGUAAAGUUUGUGAAGAUGGUGUAUAAGCACAGAGAAUAUCUAAGGAAGAGUGGUGUAUCAGUCUCAAGAUUAUUCCAAAAUGUGGCAUCACCAGCUCCUCUGCUUCCACAUACAGCAACACCUCCAAAAAGUCCUCAGUUCAAGGCAGACUAUCCUGCUUUAAUUGACAAAGAUUCUGCAGGUGACAAUCCUGACUAGCCAGCUGACCUGGACCCCAAGGAACCCCCUAACUCAAAGACCCCGGGGUCUUUGCAGUUGAGGAAUCUGGGGAAGGACCUACUUGACAGAACUGAAAAGAAUUGUUUACAUGCCUUCUGUGCUCUGCCACAAGACGCCCAGAAUGAAAUAUUCUCCAGAUUUGACCUCUGACGUUCCUGCCUAAUAAGUUUGAAGAAGGAACACAAGGGCUCAUGCAAGUAGAACUUGACUCUUUGUGCUCCAGAUCCAGCCCACCAGAUAUUCCAGCGUGAGUUGAAUUUAUGGGCUGAAAAGCCACCUCCCCCCACCAGGUUAAUGAACCCUCUUUCCUACCAAUUGGAG